rnacentral:tRNA from 1 species
GCUUCCAUAGCUGAAUUGGUUAAAGCAACUGCCUCUUAAGCAGUGGACUGUAGGUUCAAGUCCUGCUGGAAGCA